rnacentral:rRNA from 1 species
AACGAACGCUGGCGGCAUGCCUAACACAUGCAAGUCGAACGAAGCCUUCGGGCUUAGUGGCGCACGGGUGCGUAACGCGUGGGAAUCUGCCCUCAGGUACGGAAUAACUCAGGGAAACUUGAGCUAAUACCGUAUGAUGUCUUCGGACCAAAGAUUUAUCGCCUGGGGAUGAGCCCGCGUCGGAUUAGCUAGUUGGUGGGGUAAAGGCCUACCAAGGCGACGAUCCGUAGCUGGUCUGAGAGGAUGAUCAGCCACACUGGGACUGAGACACGGCCCAGACUCCUACGGGAGGCAGCAGUGGGGAAUAUUGGACAAUGGGCGAAAGCCUGAUCCAGCAUGCCGCGUGAGUGAAGAAGGCCUUCGGGUUGUAAAGCUCUUUUACCCGGGAAGAUAAUGACUGUACCGGGAGAAUAAGCCCCGGCUAACUCCGUGCCAGCAGCCGCCGUAACAC